rnacentral:rRNA from 1 species
AACGCUAGCUACAGGCUUAACACAUGCAAGUCGAGGGGCAGCAUUGGAGUAGCAAUACUUCAGAUGGCGACCGGCGCACGGGUGAGUAACACGUAUCCAACCUGCCGCUUACUCGGGGAUAGCCUUUCGAAAGAAAGAUUAAUACCCGAUGGUAUAAAGAGUUCGCAUGUUCUCUUUAUUAAAGAAUUUCGGUAAGCGAUGGGGAUGCGUUCCAUUAGAUUGUUGGCGGGGUAACGGCCCACCAAGUCUACGAUGGAUAGGGGUUCUGAGAGGAAGGUCCCCCACAUCGGAACUGAGACACGGUCCAAACUCCUACGGGAGGCAGCAGUGAGGAAUAUUGGUCAAUGGACGAGAGUCUGAACCAGCCAAGUAGCGUGAAGGAUGACUGCCCUAUGGGUUGUAAACUUCUUUUAUAAGGGAAUAAAGUGAGGGACGUGUCCCUUUUUGUAUGUACCUUAUGAAUAAGGAUCGGCUAACUCCGUGCCAGCAGCCGCGGUAAUACGGAGGAUCCAAGCGUUAUCCGGAUUUAUUGGGUUUAAAGGGAGCGUAGGUUGACAUAUAAGUCAGCUGUGAAAGUUUACGGCUCAACCGUGAAAUUGCAGUUGAUACUGUAUGUCUUGAGUGUACAAGAGGUGGGCGGAAUUCGUGGUGUAGCGGUGAAAUGCUUAGAUAUCACGAAGAACUCCGAUUG